AUGCUGUUUCGGAUAGUUGAGAUAAGGUUAGCUAAUGACUCUCAAACCUCUCAAAUAACCUUCUUCUUCUCUCUCGCGGCGUCCACUCUCUUCUAUUUCCCUUCUUCAAACGGCGUCGAUGUAACUAUAAAUUUCAUCCUCAAUCAUCCCUCCGUCUCAUUCUCACGUGAACUUCGGCUUUUGUUCUUCUUCAGUUUCUCUUAA